rnacentral:rRNA from 1 species
UCCUACGGGAGGCAGCAAUUAGGAAUCUUGCACAAUGGGCGAAAGCCUGAUGCAGCGACGCCGCGUGAGUGAUGAAGUUUCUCGGAAUGUAAAGCUCUGUCCUACAGGGAAGAAGAAUGUGACGGUACCUGUAGAGAAAGCCCCGGCUAACUACGUGCCAGCAGCCGCGGUAAUACGUAGGGGGCGAGCGUUGUCCGAAUUUAUUGGGCGUAAAGCGCGUGUAGGCGGCUCUUUAAGUCAGAUGUGAAAUCCUGCGGCUCAACCGCAGAACUGCAUUUGAUACUGGAGGGCUUGAGUGUGGGAGAGGAAAGUGGAAUUCCAGGUGUAGCGGUGAAAUGCGUAGAUAUCUGGAGGAACACCCGUGGCGAAGGCGGCUUUCUGGCCCACCACUGACGCUGAGACGCGAAGGCUAGGGGAGCGAACGGGAUUAGAUACCCCCGUAGUCC